rnacentral:tmRNA from 1 species
GGGGGCGAUCCGGUUUCGACGUGGAUUGCAAAACCUAAGGCGCAUGCCGAGGAUGCAGCUCGCCUCGUUAAACUGGCUGCAAAUUAUAGUUGCCAACGACGACAGCUACGCUCUGGCGGCUUAAAGCCCGCCAGCCUCUGACCGGAACUUGCUUGUGAGGUCCGGAGCCUUUCGGGGCGCUUCAGGGGUCGACUCAACAUAAGCUCGCGACCGAUCCUGUCCGGGGGUGAAGCGCUAAAACUUACCGGAACCGCCGUUCGACGCCCUGCCGGUCGGGUUGCGAAAGGUUAAAUCAAAGACCAGGCUAAGCAUGUAGGGCCGAGGGCGGAGGAUUUGCGGACGGGGGUUCGAUUCCCCCCGCCUCCAUCG